AUUGAACGCUGGCGGCAGGCCUAACACAUGCAAGUCGAGCGAGCGGCGGACGGGUGAGUAAUGCCUGGGCAUUGCACAGUCGAGGGGGAUAACAGUUGGAAAAGACUGCUAAUAACGCAUACGGAUGGAUUGCCCAGGUGGGAUUAGCUAGUUGGUGAGAUAAUGGCUCACCCAAGCGACGAUCCCUAGCUGGUCUGAGAGGAUGAUCAGCCACAGUGGAACUGAGACAAGGUCCAGACUCCUCCGGGAGGCAGCAGUGGGGAAGAUUGCACAAUGGGGGAAACCCUGAUACAGCCAUGCCGCGUGUGUGAAGAAGGCCUUCGGGUUGUAAAGCACUUUCAGCGAGGAGGCGUUACUCGCAGAAGAAGCACCGGCUAACUCCGUGCCAGCAGCCGCGGUAAUUC
rnacentral:rRNA from 1 species